AGCUUUUAUGCAAGUAGAAGCAGCACACCUGAUUCAGACCACACUAUGAUAUCAGUAUGCAUACAUUUUGUAGAUACCAAAGAUUAAUAAAAUAUAGUGAUAAAAAGAGAAAUGUAAUUAGUGCACAUUAUUUAUUGUUAAUCUAUCAUCUUAGAAGUCCCACAUAAAAAUAGAUAAUCUGUAAAGAUCAUCGUGCAUUUUUACUGAAUCUUGAACUAUUUGAGUUCAUAAAUUUAAAAGCAUUAACUCAGGGGCUUGAACUAAGAAAUAUGACAGAACUGCAAAUUGAUUACAUUGGCGGAUUCAGAACACAUACAUAACAACAACUCUUAUAGAUCCUACCUAAUACAUGCAUCCGCAAUAUUUUGGGGAGGGUAUUGAAAAUAAAUUAAAUUAAUCUGGUUCCCAACCAUUUAUGUGGGGUUACAUGAUGUAUUAACGGCCCUAAGAAAAAUACAUUGGAUUGGGCGAAGGAAAACACUUGUACCUAUGUUUGGCUUCCCCUCUUUUGCGAGAUCAUGUUCCAAGGGAGAGUAGUGUAGAACAGAGUACCAAUUAGCUUUGUGUUCAUAACCAUAAUUUCAUAAUCAAGCCACACAUGCAUCUUUAGCACAAGGGCUAAAAAAGUUAGUGGGAGCACAAUCUGAAAAUACACAACACCAAAAUGCUAACUUAACAUGAGAAAGAGAAGUAAAUACCCAAGAAGAUGAUUUGAUCAUUUUGUUUCCAAGGAAGAACGCUGACAGAAAGAAUCAUAUAUUGAACCUUAGAAUAGCAGACAUUCAGAUCAACUCUGUAGUCCGCAGUGUAGCUCUGCUAGCAGUUUACACUACAAUAAAAGAACAUGUAAAGUAAGAGGAUAAAUAAAUACUUCUCCAGCAGUAUGUGGUUUUCUCAGUGAAAACAAAAUGAAUUCUACAAAACCACAUCUAUGCAGAUAUGCUCCGCAGGAGGAAAAUGCAUGCUUACCCAGUAUAUUAUAUAAAAAAUACCAUAUAAAACCAAUAUAAAUACGACACCAAGACAGCUACUUAUCAGGCUACCACAGGAUGUAACCAAUUGAUGCAAUAACACACACCUAAAGCAGUAGAGUGAAUAAAAAGAGGUGGUUGUGAAGCAGUAGUCAUUGUGUAACAGACAUACAUUUAAUCCUCUAAUGUAGAACCGGAGAUAUCAAUACAUACAUCAAGAUGACUAUUUUGUAGAGUAACUCGAGAAAAGAAUUAACAUGUUUGCCUGUUUUAAAAGCUCAAGUGAAUAUGCAGUUUGAUUACAACCAUACUCAACCAUGUAUCCGGUCAUCUGUUCUUUACUCUCAUGUAAUUAAGAGAAACUCACUUCUUGUAGGUAUCAUGUGACACUGUCUUAUCAACACUAUUAUAAAUAAAAUUAACCAAUGGAAUGCGGCUGGAACCUAGUGGGUGGAGCAAGAGAUUCGAUACUGUACUUCCCCUAAGCUGGUACUGAAGGCAUAUAAUUUAUUCGUCAGAUUUAGGUAUUCUGUGAUGGCCAGGUUAUCAAUGUAGAUGCUUUACAAAUGUGUCAAAAGUGUUCUGUCUCAAUGUAGAUGCAGUAACAUAUAUGUAUUCUGCACAUGCAGUAUUCUUCAUAUAUUCUGCAGAUACAUCAACCCUAUUCUUAUUAUAAAGAUGGCCAGGUUAUCAGUAUUCUUGUUUUAACACAAGUUCAGUCUAAUGAGUACAG
rnacentral:lncRNA from 1 species